rnacentral:pre_miRNA from 1 species
UAAGGUGCAUCUAGUGCAGUUAGUGAAGCAGCUCAGAAUCUACUGCCCUAAAUGCUCCUUCUGGC